rnacentral:ncRNA from 1 species
AGCCAUGAACCGUGAGGAAAAUGUCUCCCCUUGCGGAUCGGCGAUAAAAAAAAUGACAAAGGAG